GACGAACGCUGGCGGCGUGCUUAACACAUGCAAGUCGAACGGAAAGGCCCUGCUUUUGUGGGGUGCUCGAGUGGCGAACGGGUGAGUAACACGUGAGUAACCUGCCCUUGACUUUGGGAUAACUUCAGGAAACUGGGGCUAAUACCGGAUAGGAGCUCCUGCUGCAUGGUGGGGGUUGGAAAGUUUCGGCGGUUGGGGAUGGACUCGCGGCUUAUCAGCUUGUUGGUGGGGUAGUGGCUUACCAAGGCUUUGACGGGUAGCCGGCCUGAGAGGGUGACCGGAGACAAUGGGACUGCGAUACGGCCCAGACUCCUACGGGCGGCAGCAGUGGGGAAUAUUGCACAAUGGGCGGAAGCCUGAUGCAGCAACGCCGCGUGCGGGAUGACGGCCUUCGGGUUGUAAACCGCUUUCGCCUGUGACGAAGCGUGAGUGACGGUAAUGGGUAAAGAAGCACCGGCUAACCACGUG
rnacentral:rRNA from 1 species